GUAAGGAAUAUUGGUCAAUGGACGGAAGUCUGAACCAGCCAUCCCGCGUGCAGGAUGAAGGUCCUAUGGAUUGUAAACUGCUUUUAGCAGAGACGAAACGCCGACAUUUAUGUUGGUCUGACGGUAUCUGCGGAAUAAGCACCGGCUAACUCCGUGCCAGCAGCCGCGGUAAUACGGAGGGUGCAAGCGUUAUCCGGAAUCACUGGGUUUAAAGGGUGCGUAGGCGGAUGAUUAAGUCAGUGGUGAAAGCUGGUCGCUUAACGAUCAAACUGCCAUUGAUACUGAUUGUCUUGAAUUGGGUUGAGGUUAGCGGAAUGUGACAUGUAGCGGUGAAAUGCAUAGAUAUGUCAUGGAACACCAAUUGCGAAGGCAGCUAACUGGGCCUUGAUUGACGCUGAGGCACGAAAGCGUGGGUAGCGAACAGGAUUAGAAACCCUAGUAGUCC
rnacentral:rRNA from 1 species